rnacentral:rRNA from 1 species
CAUGUCCUUUUGAUUAUUAUUUAAGGUCUGAUCUGCUCAAUGAGGAGUUAAAUUGCCGCGGUAUUUUGACCGUGCGAAGGUAGCAUAAUAAUUAGUUUUUUUAUUGGAAGCUGGAAUGAAUGAUUGGACGAGGGAGCAGCUGUCUUCUGUUGGAUUUUUUUUUGAAUUUAACUUUUGAGUUAAAAGGCUCAGAUGAUAUUAAAAGACGAGAAGACCCUAUAGAGUUUGACAUUCUUUUAUAUGAUAGGUUUUUGGUAUUUGAAAUUUUCAUUUAUUUGUGAUGUUUGGUUGGGGUGACUGGAAGAUUUAAUAAACUCUUCUAAUUUAUUGUUACUGAUUGGUAAACGGGGAAUCUGAGUUUUUCAAGGUUAAUUAAAAUUACCUUAGGGAUAACAGCGUAAUUUCUUUUUAGAGUUCUUAUUGGAAGAGAAGUUUGCGACCUCGAUGUUGGAUUAAAAUUUAUGUUUGGCGCAGUAGCUUUACUAUUAGGUCUGUUCGACCUUUGAAAUUUUACAUGAUCUGAGU